rnacentral:lncRNA from 1 species
UGUGACUACCAUUUCCUAUUACAAUCAUUUGACCCAGCCUGGCUCUCAUUUUUCUAUGCUCAAAGGAAAUCAGAAAGUUUGAGUGAAAUUUCUGUCACCAAAACUCAAAAUGGUCUCACUGACAAGCUGGAUUCCUGUCUACAUAACUGUUCUUCUUCACUUACAUAUCUGGAAAGCAAGGGUUCAUGCCUCUGGAACAUCUGAAGAGGAUGGAGUAGAUAUCACAUACGUUAUCAUAGGAGUUACUCUUGGAGCCAUUUUAGCUAUUGGUUUUAUAGCAUUAAAGAUCUGUAUGAUCAAAAGACAAUUGAUUGACAAUAUCCUUGGAGGUCACAGCAAGGAUCAAGUGGGAACAGAGAAGCCACCUUACCGAAAACAGAAAAUACAAAUGAUCUCUAACUGUUUUGAAAUGGGGUGCAUUCAGGCAGAAAGUCACAUACUGCUGUGCCUAUUCUAUUACUCAAUGGAAGGCUUUUGUUCGUGGACUUUUGUUGCUUUCUCAUCAGGUACAAAUUCAGUUACUUAAAAAAUUGGAGGGAGUAACUGAUUUCAGGAAAGACUUUGUUGUGUGAUCUACUGAAGAUCAUUUGCACUCAGAAAAUGCUGUGCUCGUAAAUAGCAGAUGUCUAAAGGAAAUGUAUAAUGGAAAUACAAGAGAUGAACUUUGUUCAAAGCAGCUUUCAUAUAUGGCUGUAAUAGGUAUAAGAUGUAUUUGUAAAACAAUGAACUAAAGGGUGAUCCAAAACUAGAGAUGGGCUCAGCUUGCAAAAUUCAGAUUUCAAGUACAAGUAAGCAAAAAAGUUGAACUUUUCAUGUUGACAGCAAACAGAAAAAACAGGAAAAAUAUAAAUCCUGGAUGAAACCAAAACAGAAAAUUUUCUGGUUUUACAGUGAAACAGACAAAAAGGCAGAAUUGUUUUAUGCCAUGCUGCAACAUUUCACUCAAUGCAAAAGAAGCUGUUUUGCUUAUUCUUUCACGGUUUUUCUUGAUUUCUAAGAUGAAACAUUUAGUUUUGGAAACCUUGAAACAAAAUGUUUUGACAUUUUAAACCCCACCCCCAUUUGCACAGUUCAAUCCAAAAUCAUAAAGAGUCCUCCCUUCCACCAGCUGCCAACACCAUUUUUAGCAAAUUUAUUUUUCAUAAAACUUUUUUUCUGGAUCGAAGUUCAAGCACUUUAAAGAUACUUGACAAGGAAAGAAAUCAGAGGUUUGGCUUAAACCUUUGAAAAUGCAGGGACCAUUUGCAAAAUUUUGCUUCAGGUUUAAUUUUCAAACAGCAGCCUCAUCCUGCAAAAGCUGAGUGUUUAGACGUGAGAUCUCAAAUUAACUAAGCUAUUAGAUAUUAUAUAGAAAGGAGUUUAUCCAUGUUUGUUCUUAAAUAUAUGUGCCACUUGUUAUAAACAUUGUAAUAAAAUUUUAUUUGAACCAUUUGUUGUUUUGCA